rnacentral:rRNA from 1 species
AGUGAACGCUGGCGGCAGGCCUAACACAUGCAAGUCGAGCGGCAGCGCGUCCGACCACCCUCGGGUGGUCGGAUGGCGGCGAGCGGCGGACGGGUGAGGAAUGCAUCGGAAUCUGCCUCGUUGUGGGGGAUAACGUAGGGAAACUUACGCUAAUACCGCAUACGACCUACGGGUGAAAGUGGGGGACCUUCGGGCCUCACGCGAUGAGAUGAGCCGAUGCCGGAUUAGCUAGUUGGCGGGGUAAAGGCCCACCAAGGCGACGAUCCGUAGCUGGUCUGAGAGGAUGAUCAGCCACACUGGAACUGAGACACGGUCCAGACUCCUACGGGAGGCAGCAGUGGGGAAUAUUGGACAAUGGGGGGCAACCCUGAUCCAGCCAUGCCGCGUGUGUGAAGAAGGCCUCGGUUGUAAGACUCUUUGUUGGGUAGAAAGACAGUUGUUAAGUACCGACUUGUUCUGACGGUACCAAACGAAUAAGACACCGG